rnacentral:rRNA from 1 species
GUCUUUUUGAAUUAAAUUUAAAGUCUGACCUGCCCACUGAAAAUUUUAAAUGGCCGCAGUAUUCUAACUGUGCAAAGGUAGCAUAAUCAUUAGUCUUUUAAUUGAAGGCUGGAAUGAAUGGUUGGACGAAAUAUUAACUGUUUCAUUUAAAAUUUUUAUAUAAUUUUAUUUUUUAGUCAAAAAGCUAAAAUAAAUUUAAAAGACGAGAAGACCCUAUAAAUCUUUAUAUUUUGUUUAUUUUAAUUAUAAAGAUUAUUUUUAUUAUAAUAAGUUAAAAUAUUUUAUUGGGGUGAUAUUAAAAUUUAAAAAACUUUUAAUUUUUAAAAACCAUUAAUUUAUGAGUAAUUGAUCCAUUAAUAAUGAUUAAAAAUUUAAGUUACUUUAGGGAUAACAGCGUAAUUUUUUUGGAGAGUUCAUAUCGAUAAAAAAGAUUGCGACCUCGAUGUUGGAUUAAGAUAUAAUUUUGGGUGUAGCCGUUCAAAUUUUAAGUCUGUUCGACUUUUAAAUUCUU